rnacentral:rRNA from 1 species
GGGUUGUGAGGUUAAGCGACUAAGCGUACACGGUGGAUGCCCUGGCAGUCAGAGGCGAUGAAGGACGUGCUAAUCUGCGAUAAGCGUCGGUAAGGUGAUAUGAACCGUUAUAACCGGCGAUUUCCGAAUGGGGAAACCCAGUGUGUUUCGACACACUAUCAUUAACUGAAUCCAUAGGUUAAUGAGGCGAACCGGGGGAACUGAAACAUCUAAGUACCCCGAGGAAAAGAAAUCAACCGAGAUUCCCCCAGUAGCGGCGAGCGAACGGGGAGCAGCCCAGAGCCUGAAUCAGUGUGUGUGUUAGUGGAAGCGUCUGGAAAGGCGUGCGAUACAGGGUGACAGCCCCGUACACAAAAAUGCACAUGCUGUGAGCUCGAUGAGUAGGGCGGGACACGUGGUAUCCUGUCUGAAUAUGGGGGGACCAUCCUCCAAGGCUAAAUACUCCUGACUGACCGAUAGUGAACCAGUACCGUGAGGGAAAGGCGAAAAGAACCCCGGCGAGGGGAGUGAAAAAGAACCUGAAACCGUGUACGUACAAGCAGUGGGAGCACGCUUAGGCGUGUGACUGCGUACCUUUUGUAUAAUGGGUCAGCGACUUAUAUUCUGUAGCAAGGUUAACCGAAUAGGGGAGCCGAAGGGAAACCGAGUCUUAACUGGGCGUUAAGUUGCAGGGUAUAGACCCGAAACCCGGUGAUCUAGCCAUGGGCAGGUUGAAGGUUGGGUAACACUAACUGGAGGACCGAACCGACUAAUGUUGAAAAAUUAGCGGAUGACUUGUGGCUGGGGGUGAAAGGCCAAUCAAACCGGGAGAUAGCUGGUUCUCCCCGAAAGCUAUUUAGGUAGCGCCUCGUGAAUUCAUCUCCGGGGGUAGAGCACUGUUUCGGCAAGGGGGUCAUCCCGACUUACCAACCCGAUGCAAACUGCGAAUACCGGAGAAUGUUAUCACGGGAGACACACGGCGGGUGCUAACGUCCGUCGUGAAGAGGGAAACAACCCAGACCGCCAGCUAAGGUCCCAAAGUCAUGGUUAAGUGGGAAACGAUGUGGGAAGGCCCAGACAGCCAGGAUGUUGGCUUAGAAGCAGCCAUCAUUUAAAGAAAGCGUAAUAGCUCACUGGUCGAGUCGGCCUGCGCGGAAGAUGUAACGGGGCUAAACCAUGCACCGAAGCUGCGGCAGCGACACUAUGUGUUGUUGGGUAGGGGAGCGUUCUGUAAGCCUGUGAAGGUGUACUGUGAGGUAUGCUGGAGGUAUCAGAAGUGCGAAUGCUGACAUAAGUAACGAUAAAGCGGGUGAAAAGCCCGCUCGCCGGAAGACCAAGGGUUCCUGUCCAACGUUAAUCGGGGCAGGGUGAGUCGACCCCUAAGGCGAGGCCGAAAGGCGUAGUCGAUGGGAAACAGGUUAAUAUUCCUGUACUUGGUGUUACUGCGAAGGGGGGACGGAGAAGGCUAUGUUGGCCGGGCGACGGUUGUCCCGGUUUAAGCGUGUAGGCUGGUUUUCCAGGCAAAUCCGGAAAAUCAAGGCUGAGGCGUGAUGACGAGGCACUACGGUGCUGAAGCAACAAAUGCCCUGCUUCCAGGAAAAGCCUCUAAGCAUCAGGUAACAUCAAAUCGUACCCCAAACCGACACAGGUGGUCAGGUAGAGAAUACCAAGGCGCUUGAGAGAACUCGGGUGAAGGAACUAGGCAAAAUGGUGCCGUAACUUCGGGAGAAGGCACGCUGAUAUGUAGGUGAAGUCCCUCGCGGAUGGAGCUGAAAUCAGUCGAAGAUACCAGCUGGCUGCAACUGUUUAUUAAAAACACAGCACUGUGCAAACACGAAAGUGGACGUAUACGGUGUGACGCCUGCCCGGUGCCGGAAGGUUAAUUGAUGGGGUUAGCCGCAAGGCGAAGCUCUUGAUCGAAGCCCCGGUAAACGGCGGCCGUAACUAUAACGGUCCUAAGGUAGCGAAAUUCCUUGUCGGGUAAGUUCCGACCUGCACGAAUGGCGUAAUGAUGGCCAGGCUGUCUCCACCCGAGACUCAGUGAAAUUGAACUCGCUGUGAAGAUGCAGUGUACCCGCGGCAAGACGGAAAGACCCCGUGAACCUUUACUAUAGCUUGACACUGAACAUUGAGCCUUGAUGUGUAGGAUAGGUGGGAGGCUUUGAAGUGUGGACGCCAGUCUGCAUGGAGCCGACCUUGAAAUACCACCCUUUAAUGUUUGAUGUUCUAACGUUGACCCGUAAUCCGGGUUGCGGACAGUGUCUGGUGGGUAGUUUGACUGGGGCGGUCUCCUCCUAAAGAGUAACGGAGGAGCACGAAGGUUGGCUAAUCCUGGUCGGACAUCAGGAGGUUAGUGCAAUGGCAUAAGCCAGCUUGACUGCGAGCGUGACGGCGCGAGCAGGUGCGAAAGCAGGUCAUAGUGAUCCGGUGGUUCUGAAUGGAAGGGCCAUCGCUCAACGGAUAAAAGGUACUCCGGGGAUAACAGGCUGAUACCGCCCAAGAGUUCAUAUCGACGGCGGUGUUUGGCACCUCGAUGUCGGCUCAUCACAUCCUGGGGCUGAAGUAGGUCCCAAGGGUAUGGCUGUUCGCCAUUUAAAGUGGUACGCGAGCUGGGUUUAGAACGUCGUGAGACAGUUCGGUCCCUAUCUGCCGUGGGCGCUGGAGAACUGAGGGGGGCUGCUCCUAGUACGAGAGGACCGGAGUGGACGCAUCACUGGUGUUCGGGUUGUCAUGCCAAUGGCACUGCCCGGUAGCUAAAUGCGGAAGAGAUAAGUGCUGAAAGCAUCUAAGCACGAAACUUGCCCCGAGAUGAGUUCUCCCUGACUCCUUGAGAGUCCUGAAGGAACGUUGAAGACGACGACGUUGAUAGGCCGGGUGUGUAAGCGCAGCGAUGCGUUGAGCUAACCGGUACUAAUGAACCGUGAGGCUUAACCUUACAACGCCGAAG